AACGAACGCUGGCGGCAGGCCUAACACAUGCAAGUCGAACGCUGUAGCAAUACAGAGUGGCAGACGGGUGAGUAACACGUGGGAAUCUUCCUAUCGGUACGGAAUAGCUCAGGGAAACUUGGGGUAAUACCGCAUACGCCCUUCGGGGGAAAGAUUUAUCGCCGAUAGAUGAGCCCGCGUCUGAUUAGCUAGUUGGUGAGGUAAUGGCUCACCUAGGCGACGAUCAGUAGCUGGUCUGAGGGGAUGACCAGCCACACUGGGACUGAGACACGGCCCAGACGCCUACGGGAGGCAGCAGUGGGGAAUAUUGGACAAUGGGCGCAAGCCUGAUCCAGCCAUGCCGCGUGAGUGACGAAGGUCUUCGGAUUGUAAAGCUCUUUUGGCGGGGACGAUAAUGACGGUACCCGCAGAAUAAGCCCCGGCUAACUUCGUGCCAGCAGCCGCCGUAA
rnacentral:rRNA from 1 species